AUCAACUUAGCUUCAUUUAAAAUUGCUGUAGAGUCUUAAGGUCAUUUCAGUCAUCAGACAGUGAUGAUUUAUUCCCUAGAAUUAAAUAGGCACACUCCAAACCUAAAUAGAAAUGAAGGAUUUGCAGCAUAUUACAAUAUUCUAUAUUGGCACUGAGCAAGAAGCCCUCCUGAAUGAAAGCAAAUGACUUUUUGUAGCUGUAGCAUGGUAAUUGCUUGAAGAACAACAACAAAAAUCCCAACAAAAAAACCCAGCAAGCUAUUUCUGAAAUACAAUGCACCAACAAAAUAAGAAAUGGAAUUGAAUGAGAAAAAUAUAUCUGCUGAGGAUGAAAUCAGACAGCAGGGAGAAUUUAUAGCCCUGUGCUAAUUUCCUACUAUCAGACACUGAGCUGGAUGGGAAAAUGACAGAAGAGAACCUUAUCCAAUAGACGUGGCAGAAGUGAUGGGUUUGAAAGAUGACAAUCUUCAUCUGAGCUGCAAGAAAUCACAGAAGUUUCCAGAAGUUCAGUUCUUCCUAAACUCCUCAGAAGCAGGAACAACACAUUAUCUAAUGGAGAUUGCAGACCUCCAGCGUGUAUGAAACCAUGAAUAAUAAAAUAAAUAAAAUAAAUUCACUCA